rnacentral:rRNA from 1 species
AGACUGCGUUUGAAACUGUAUAUCUUGAGAGCAGCAGAGGAAGGCGGAAUCCUGGUGUAGUGGUGAAAUACGUAGAUAUCAGGAAGAACACCAGUGGCGAAGGCGGUCUUCUGGGCUGCAUCUGACGCUCAUGUACGAAAGCUGGGGUAGCGAACGGGAUUAGAUACCCCGGUAGUCCCAGCUGUAAACGAUGGACACUAGGUGUUGGAGGUUCGAAUCCUUCAGUGCCGGAGUUAACGCAUUAAGUGUCCCGCCUGGGGAAUACGGUCGCAAGACUGAAACUCAAAGGAAUUGACGGGGGCCCGCACAAGCGGUGGAGCAUGUGGUUUAAUUCGAUGCAACGCGAAGAACCUUACCGAGAAUUGACAUCCCGUGACUACCUGUGAGAGCAGG